rnacentral:rRNA from 2 species
CAAAGCACUUUGAAGAGAGAGUUAAAGAGGACGUGAAACCGAUGAGGUGGAAACGGACAGAGCUGGCGUAUCUGGUCUGCAUUCAUCCGUGUGUUCUUGGGCGUUUGGGUGCCACUCUCCAGACUGGGAUGGUGUUCAUUCUGUUCAGGGGCGCAUGGGGCAUUUGCAGGCGGAGUGCGCUGAGACGCUCGGGGCAGCUGUAUGAGCUUGGCUUUGAGGCCAGCCCUUCGGGGUCUGGUACCCGGGCCGGGGGAGUGCUGUUUGCUCUGGGUGGUGUGCUGGUGCAAUGGUUACGGGCCCGUGUUGGUUUGAGCUGGCGGUCGGUGGCGGUCGCGUGCGACACGUACCAGCAGUCAGUUCGGUCCUGCUCGGGCUCUCAUUGCAUGUUCUCGGUGUAAAAGCCGGUCAUCUGUCCGACCCGUCUUGAAACACGGACCAAGGAGUUUAGCGUGUGCGCGAGUCAUUGGGUGUUGAAAACCCAAAGGCGUAAUGAAAGUGAAGUCUCCUUGCGGAGCUGAUGUGUGAUCCUGUGCACCUCGGUGUGCGGGCGCAACAUAGUCCCGUCCCGAUCGCAUGCGAUGGGGCGGAGACAGAGCGUACGCGCUGAGACCCGAAAGAUGGUGAACUAUUCCUGAGCAGGACGAAGCCAGAGGAAACUCUGGUGGAAGUCCGAAGCGAUUCUGACGUGCAAAUCGAUCGUCUGACUUGGGUAUAGGGGCGAAAGACUAAUCGAACCAUC